rnacentral:rRNA from 1 species
AUUGAACGCUGGCGGCAUGCCUUACACAUGCAAGUCGAACGGCAGCACGGGAGCAAUCCUGGUGGCGAGUGGCGAACGGGUGAGUAAUAUAUCGGAACGUGCCCAGUCGUGGGGAUAGCGUAGCGAAAGCUACGCUAAUACCGCAUACGAUCUACGGAUGAAAGCGGGGGAUCGCAAGACCUCGCGCGAUUGGAGCGGCCGAUAUCAGAUUAGGUAGUUGGUGAGGUAAAGGCUCACCAAGCCGACGAUCUGUAGCUGGUCUGAGAGGACGACCAGCCACACUGGGACUGAGACACGGCCCAGACUCCUACGGGAGGCAGCAGUGGGGGAAUUUUGGACAAUGGGCGCAAGCCUGAUCCAGCAAUGCCGCGUGCAGGAUGAAGGCCUCGGUUGUAACGUAG